rnacentral:lncRNA from 1 species
CUAUAAUCGAUGAUUUAUAAUGGAGAAGUAUAACCAAGAUGAAAAAGGCAAAUAAAUCCUGGUUGGCACAUUAUUUACAUAAACAAAAAUGCCAAACUGUGAUCUGCGGACCAAAUCAAGCCUCUGCUUGACAUUCCAGAGUGCGCUUUAAUUGAAAUCUGUAAGACUGGUCCCAGAUGAGCUUAGGAAAAUGCUGAGGAGCACUCGGCUUCAUCCAGGACUCAGAAGCAGGCUGUGUCAAGGCGUGGUGAAGACGUGAUCGACUGCUGUCCAGCCUCUCUGCCUGACCCUGGAACAUCUGGAACCCUGCAACCUGACCAAGCGCUGCUGCUCACUCAGUCAUCAGAAAUGGUUCAACAGCCCCCACCCCGAUGCUGUCCCUUCGCAUUCUUCUUGCUGUGGAUAUGGUGGGGCUGAAAGAGGAAACAGACAGAACAGGCUCCAUCGUGAAACCAGAACUUCAUCUUGGGCCGGACUGUGGACUUUGAGCUAUAUGCCCAGUAUCUAUGGAAACGACAUAACUGGAAAACUAGACCCCCCGGAUGGAAGAGCCCCAGGGCUCACACCUAGACUCUCUGUUGCCUAAAAGAAUACCCUAAUUAUCUGUGUAACCAAAUAAAAUCAUAAAUUCUAUUAUGCUUAUUGGGGUAUGACCACAGGCCUAUUCAUAAUUGUCCACUGUUAACAGUCAGACACGACUGAGCAACUUCCCUUUCACUUUUCACUUUCAUGCAUUGGAGAAGGAAAUGGCAACCCACUCCAGUGUUCUUGCUUGGAGAAUCCCAGGGACGGCAGAGCCUGGUGGGCUGCCAUCUAUGGGUUCGCACAGACUCGGACACGACUAAAGCGACUUAGCAGCAGCAGCAGCAGCAGCAGCAGCAGCUACCUAGGCUUAAGGCAUACGAGUCAUGGGUUAACUUUGAUUGUAUCUUUCUUUUCCUUUGUUCAGACUAGUUUCAGGGAAUUUGGGGAGGUGGGUUUGUGUAUGUACGCUUAGAGUAUGUAAGGUUUUCGCAAAAACUCGUCGGGAUCCUUGGCUAAGAGGAGACUCUGCCUUGGGCCCGCCGGUGUAAUAAACUGCACUCCACUAUCUGCAUUGUCCUUCUGAGUGAGUUUGUUUCCCGGAAUGCUUGGCUACAACAGUGC